UCGGGGUGUAGCGUAGUUUGGUUAGCGCGCCUGGUUAGGGACCAGGAGGUCGCAAGUUCGAGUCUUGUCACCCCGAU
rnacentral:tRNA from 1 species